AUGAGUUCCUUAUUCCUCUUCCUCUUUCUUCUCUCUUCCCCACAACCUACAUGGGUGCUCUCUGCUGUGCAGCUGGUUGAGUCUGGCCCAGGGGUGGUGAAGCCUGCAGAGACCCUCACCCUCACCUGCACUGUCACAGGCGACUCCAUCAGCAGUGGUUAUUGUUGGCAAUGGAUCCGGCAGCCUCCUGGGAAAGGGCUGGAGUGGAUGGUGCAGAUAUAUGGAAGCAGUGAUAGCACAUACUACAACCCAUCCCUCAAGAGCCGCAUCACCAUUUCCAAGGACAACUCCAAGAACCAGUUCUCCCUGCAGCUGCGCUCUCUGACAGCUGCAGACACAGCCACGUAUUACUGUGCCAGAGACACACAGGGGUCAUACAGGGUGGUGAAGCCUGCAGAGACCCUCACCCUGACCUGCACUGUCACAGGUUCCUCCAUCACCACCAGAGAUUACUAUUGGAGCUGGAUCCAGCAGUCUCCUGGAAAACCGCUGCAGUGGAUGGGGUACAUUAACUACGACGGCAGAACAAGCUACAACCCAUCCCUCCGGAGCCGCCUCAUCAUUUCCAAAGACACUUCCAAGACCCAGUUCUCCCUAUGGCUGGGCUCCUUGACAGCCGCAGACACCGCCAAGUAUUACUGUGCCAGAGUCCCUACACAGUUUCCAGACAAGGGCACCUGCCACUGUCCUUGCUUCAUGCUGGACACACCUGAGGAUUUGCUAAUGCAGUGA